rnacentral:rRNA from 1 species
AACGAACGCUGGCGGCAGGCCUAACACAUGCAAGUCGAACGUGAAGCCACCUUCGGGUGGUGGAAAGUGGCAGACGGGUGGGUAACGCGUGGGAACGUGCCUUUCGGUUCGGGAUAACCCAGGGAAACUUGGGCUAAUACCGGAUACGCCCUCCGGGGGAAAGAUUCAUUGCCGAAAGAUCGGCCCGCGUCGGAUUAGCUAGUUGGUGGGGUAAAAGCCUACCAAGGCGACGAUCCGUAGCUGGUCUGAGAGGAUGACCAGCCACACUGGGACUGAGACACGGCCCAGACUCCUACGGGAGGCAGCAGUGGGGAAUAUUGGACGAUGGGCGCAAGCCUGAUCCAGCCAUGCCGCGUGGGUGAAGAAGGCCCUAGGGUUGUAAACCCCUUUCAGCGGGGAAGAUAAUGACGGUACCCGCAGAAGAAGCCCCGGCUAACUCCGUGCCAGCAGCCGCCGUAAAAC